rnacentral:rRNA from 1 species
AUUGAACGCUGGCGGCAGGCCUAACACAUGCAAGUCGAACGAGUGGCGGACGGGUGAGUAAUGUCUGGGAAACUGCCCGAUGGAGGGGGAUAACUACUGGAAACGGUAGCUAAUACCGCAUACCAUCGGAUGUGCCCAGAUGGGAUUAGCUAGUCGGUGGGGUAACGGCUCACCUAGGCGGCGAUCCCUAGCUGGUCUGAGAGGAUGACCAGCCACACGGGAACGGAAACACGGUCCAGACGCCAACGGGAGGAAGCAGUGGGGAAUAUUGCACAAUGGGCGCAAGCCGAAAGCAGCCAUGCCGAGUGUAGGAAGAAGGCCUUCGGGUUGUAAAGUACUUUCAGCGAGGAGGCGUUACUCACAGAGGAAGCACCGGCUAACUCCGUGCCAGCAGCCGCGGUAAUUC